CAGGCUGCUGUCAGCUCUCUUCUGGAUUAUGACAACAAGCACCUAAUUGAUCCCUCUGCUUCAAGUCUGCUCCAGUUCAAUCCUUCUACUUCCCAUUCUAAAAUAUAUCCUUCAAUACACACUAAUAAAUUGGCUACCUGGAGACGUAUUCAAAAAGCUAAUUAAGCAUCCAUCCACAAACAAAAGUGUCUCUGUGGGAGUCUUGUGAUCCAACAACAUAGCCCAAGAAACCCGGGAGGAGUCUCGCCCACCUGAUCAUCCCAUAAUAGACCACAGACAGACUUCAGUUUGGGCUGUGGAACUAGCAACCCCAACCCCAACCCUUCCCAGCUGUGUUUGGGGAAAAUUUUGAAAAGUGCUGACUUGGAUGAAACAAUUCCAGCACAUCGCUUAAGGAAACAAACAAACAAACAAACAAACAAACAAACAAUAAAGGGGUUUGAAGGAACUUUUCUGGCAUUGCCCCUCCCCUCCAAGUUGACAGCACAGAAUUGAACUAUCCGGUGGCACCACUCUGUGGGGGGAAGUGAGAGAUGUGUGUGAGUGCCUGGUUACCCCAACAACGCUGGAUGCAGCAGGGAAAAACCCAUUUCCCUCCGGGAACAUCCAGAGUCUGAAGUGGGACCCCCAUGACUGAGGGGAGGGAAGAAAUUGGGAAAGAGACAGAUAAGACUAUCAAAGGGCAUUAAAGAGACAUGGUUCAUGCUGACUGCACUCAGGAUGUCUGGAGAAAGUCCACCCACAAUCCACUGGGAGAACCUCAGCCAAGGAUCUCUCCACCAGCUGACAGACACCCCUCAUGCCCCAAGUGCUAAACCUACACUUUCCCUUGCUCUAAGGUGGCUCCUUACUCAGCCUCCAAGAUUGGCAGCAAAAGAAAGCUGGGUAAACUAGAGUGCUAUCAAAAAAAUAGACUAGGAUCUGUGGGCAAGAGAGAAACCACAAACUUGAGCUGUAGCACCACCUUCUGGAAAACAAAAGGGAGGUUUCUAGUAGCCAGCCAGGUGAGCUGUAAGAAGAUCCAGAAAAGACAUAAAAGCUUUAAAAAUUUUGCCACAAGAGGGAGUAAGAAGUGUGGAGCAGGUGUAUAAAUGCAAGUCCAGAUAAAACAGGAUCAAUGAACAAUAUACUCCAUCUGAAGGCAACUAGUGAAGAUUUGAGGAAGUGUCUUUUACUUUAAAGACAAAGCAGCAACACAAAGCUAUAAGGAACAUGAAGAAUCAAGAAACUUAUCACCACCAAAAGAUAAUAAUCCUUCAAUAAAGAUUUCAAAGACAUGAAAUCUUAUGAUCUAGCAGGUAAAGAAUUCAAAAUAACAAUGAGCCAUAAAGAAACACAGACGACAAUUCGAUGAAAUCAGGGAAAAAAUAUAUGGACAAAAUGAAAAAUUUAGCAAUGAGAUAGAAACCUUAAAAAAGAACCAGACAAAAUUCUGGAGCUGAAGAAUUCAAUGAUUGAAAUGAAAAAUGCAAUAGAGAGAAUCUGCAGCAGAGGAGAUCAAAUGGAAGACAAAAAGAAGUGACCUAGAAGCCAGUUGUUUUCAAAUAACCCAAUCAAAGGCAAACAGAGGGAAAAAAAAUGACAGAGUGAAGAAAGCCUAUGUGACCUGACCAUUCAGUCAGAUGUACAAAUAUUAGCAUAAUCAGAGUUCCAGAAGGAGAAGAGAGGAGGAAGAGACCAGAAAGAUUAUUUUUAAAAUAAUAGCUGAGGGCUGCCUGGGUGGCUCAGUCGGUUGGGUGUCCAAUUCAAGUUUGGCUCACCUCAUGAUCCCAGGGUCAUGGGAUCAAGCCCCACAUUAGGCUCCAUGCCGAGCAUGCAGUCUGCUUGGUAGUUCCUCUCUCUUUCCCUCUCUCUCUCUCUCUGUCCCUCCCCCCUGCUCAUGUGUGCUCUCUCUCUCUCUGUAUAAAUUAAAAAAAAAAAAAAUAGCUGAGAACUUCCAAAAACCGAGAAGAGGCUUUGGCAUCCAAGUUCAUGAAGCUAUUAGAUCACCCUAUUAUCUUAAAGCAAAAACACCUCCAAGACACAUUAUAAUGAAAUUAAGAAAAAGAAUCUUAAGCACAUCUAGAGUAAAAAAGAGUGUAACUUAUAAAGGAACACCCAUUAGGCUAUCAGUGGAUUUCUCAGCAGAAACUCCACAGGCCAGGGGAGAGUAGAAUGACAUACUUAAAGUGUUGAAAGAAAAAAUUGCCAGCCAAAAAUACUCUAUAUGGCAAAGUUAUCCUUCAGAUAUGAAGGAGGAAUAAAGACUUUCUUAGAGAAACUAAAGCUGAGGCUAUCCUACCUUACAAGAAAUGCCGAAAGGAGUUCAUCAAGUUGAAGUGAAAAAAUGCUACUAAGUGACAUGAAAACAUUUGAAAGUAUACCACACACUGGUAAAGGUAAAUAUGCAGUCUGAUUUUAAAAACUCUAAUUCUGUAACAGAAUCACGUAUUAGCCACUAAAUGAUAGUAUAAGGUUAAAGGAAAAUAGUAUUAAAAAUAACUAUAACUAU